CAAAGCUAAGAUUCUAAAUUAAACUACCCUCUG
rnacentral:tRNA from 1 species